CGACAUUAUGUCGGUGUGAGAACAAAGUCGCAUUACGAUGAUGAAAAUCACAUUAUUUGAUUAAAGAUCUGCACAAACAGGAAGAAUUAUAUCCUAAAGUUCCCCGACGAGAUGUUUUACUGCUGUUACGACAUUUGUUGAUAAAUAUUCCGACUUUUCCUCCACUUCGAUGCGAUCGGCCACAGAAGCCUUGUAUAAAAGGACCAUUGAAUCGCCUGUCUGCGUUACCACAGACGCCGCGUCACACUGGGAGAAAUAUAACAGAUCUCAAAGCUACUACGUUCUUUCAUUCCAUCACAAGACUUUACAGCAUGGUUGCUGAACAGCCUUGUGAAGUUCACAGUCAGUCUUCACAUCUUGGAAUCGGUCUCCUUGACAACGGCAAAUUACUCGGAGAUCCACCUCCUGAUGCGGGAAAUAUAAGUCAACCCGUGCUCGAAACUUGCAUGGACGUGAACAACUACCCCAUUACAGCUAUUCCCUUUGAUCAACUGGCCAUGUACUCUUCCCACCAAGAAGUUCCCAUCUCCACCACUGACAAUGACUAUCCAAUUGUGUCUAUAGCUUGCGUAACAGGACAGAACAACAUAAGCGAAGAAGGUGAUAAUUCUGUGUUCAGUGGAGACAUAAUUUGUGAAUAUAAUUCAGGGAACACUUUCUCAGCACCCACUAGUGAACUUCGGUCAGACUCUGUGUCGUCAUGCAGCGAUACCUACAGUAAUAGCGACUAUACGGACUCGUUGUGUAGCACGGACAGCACCAAAUUCCUGCUGCCACCAAAGUAUGAGGUGAACGAAACCAGUGAACACAUAUCCCCAAGCCAUGAGCAGUCGACGUCAGAUCAAACAAUGUCAUUGUUAGGCGUAACAGAGAUUUUGGAAAGCGAAGCUGUGAUAGAUAUGCCUGAAUGUUUCGAGAACAAAAAUUACACAAACACUGUAUCGUCUCAAACCUCCAGUAACCAGCCACUGCUAGACAGAACUGAGAGCAUGUGGAGCUUCGCAAAAGAAGUGGAUGCACCAAUCAUUGGACGUAUUGAACAUCCCGGUUACUUCUCCUCUCAGCGAGACCUUUCCAGUACCAGUAAUCUUAGCUUCGCGUGUCAAAAGGCUCUUCAGUACCUCCAGGACGAGCGAGUGGCGAGUUCCCUCCUUCUGCCAGGAAGUUACAAGGACGUGUCAAAGUUGCCUCCAAGUGGUAAGAAGGAUCUUGAUGACGUCGUCGACCACAACAUCGUACCCAGCGGUCGCCACACGCGCAAUCUCCUCGCUCUUAGUGUGUGCAACACUAUGGUGUUUAUUGCUUGCGGUUCCCUGAGGAACCUACAGAGCAGCAUCAACCAUGAAGGCGGCGUUGGAAUCACGUCUCUCGCUGUCAACUGCUUAGGAUUCAUGCUUGGAAGCAUUUUCAGCCCGUUCAUUGUGCAGAACUUUGAUCCGUACAAAUCCCUCCUGGCGUCUCUCUUCCCCCACGUCUUGUAUAUUGCUGCUAACUUCUACCCAGUCAUGUGGCUGAUGUGCCCUGUCUCAUUCUUGCAAGGAAUCAGCACCGCCAUCAUGUGGAACGCGAUGAGCACGUACGUUACAUUCCUGGCAAAGGGCUACUCGGAGAAAAGGAAAGAGGAUUAUGAGGGUGUUCUCAAUCGAUUCUUCGGCAUAUUUUGUUUGUUGUUCCAAGUAUACAUGGUCUUCGGCAACCUCAUCGCAUCUCUUGUCCUCACAUAUGCAAACCCAGCUGAUGUUUCCAAUGUGACAACAUCAAACGAAAGUGUUCUCACUCCUACACUGAACCUAUCAGAGUACAUGUACUCUAUAUCCAGUGACCCUUUGCUGAACUCCACAACACUCAGUGAUAUCAACACCCCCAACGUCUCAAUAUGCGGAGCCAACUACUGCCACCACUACACCAUCAGCAACUCCGGAACUACAGUCAGCGACUUCGCCAAAUACCUGCUUUUCGGUAUCUACCUGGGAUGCAUGGUUUUAGCCCUCCUCAUCGUGCUCUUCCUUCUGGAGCCCCUCAACAGUCGCCUCUUUUCCUCCGUCAUGACAUGCGGCAUGAUUAAAACACAGAUGGUCUCCCUUGGAAAGUUCAUCGUGAACCGGAAGUUUAUGCUCCUCUGUCCACUCCUGCUCUUCGGCGCCAUGGAACAAGGAUUCGCUACUGCUGAGAUUACAAAGGCCUUCGUGACGUGUCCCAUCGGCGUCCACAUGGUCGGCUACAUGAUGAUCUGCAUGGGCGUGUCGGCGAGUAUCAGCGCCUACCUCAGCGGAUGGUUGUGCAGAUACGUCGGAAGAAUUGUGCUGAUCGCAAUAGUACCAUGAGUUUUAACUUUGGUUAUACAUCACAAGUGGCAGACCAAAGACGCCACCAUAGUAAGAAUGCAGUCUCCCAAGACUUCGACUUGCCAGCUAGGCAAAUAGUCAGUUCCAUCCAGCAUUGUUGAUCUGAUAUGACGUUAUAGAAAGCUACCCAUACGAUGACAUUGCUGACCAAAGACCAUAGACGUCUUUCUGAGGGGAUGACAUUCCGAUGUAACGGUGUUGGUGAUUGCCGUUGUGUGUAACCUUGGUCUUCUGACGUUCAUGUCACUAUGGUCGCCAACACCCGACUCUCUCAUCAUACUGUUUGUCCUGUUUGGCUUCUGGGGCUUCGCAGACGGCAUCUGGUUGGCUCAGAGCCAGA
rnacentral:misc_RNA from 1 species